UAAUUGGGGACUCUAUUGUCCAUUGAGUGU
rnacentral:piRNA from 1 species